rnacentral:rRNA from 1 species
UACGUAGGGAGCAAGCUUUGUCCGGAAUCAUUGGGCGUAAAGCGCGCGUAGGUGGCUUCGUAAGUCCGUUGUGAAAGUCAAAGGCUCAACCUUUGAAAGCCGAUGGAUACUGUGAAGCUAGAGUACGGAAGAGGCGAGUGGAAUUCCUGGUGUAGCGGUGGAAUGCGCAGAUAUCAGGAGGAACACCAAUAGCGAAGGCAGCUCGCUGGGACGUUACUGACACUGAGGCGCGAAAGCGUGGGGAGCGAACAGG